UACAGAGGGUGCAAGCGUUGUUCGGAAUCAUUGGGCGUAAAGGGCGUGUAGGCGGUCUGUUAAGUCAUGUGUGAAAUCCCUCGGCUCAACCGGGGAACGACGCAUGAAACUGACAAGCUAGAGUACCAAAGAGGGGGGUGGAAUUCCACGUGUAGCAGUGAAAUGCGUAGAGAUGUGGAGGAACACCGAUGGCGAAGGCAGCCCCCUGGGCUGAGAUUGACGCUCAGGCACGAAAGCGUGGGGAGCAAACAGG
rnacentral:rRNA from 1 species